UGCCAGCAGCCGCGGUAAUACAGAGAGGGCUAGUGUUAUUCAUAAUUAAUGGGCGUAAAGGGUACGUAGACUAUUUAUUAUAUUCAAAGUAAAAGCCAAAAGCUUAACUUUUGGGAUGCUUUAAAAGUGGAUAAAUUUGAGUCUAAGAGAGGGUAGUGGUACUUUUAGUGGAGGGGUGAAAUUCAUAGAUAUUAAAAGGACCGGCAUAAGGCGAAGGCUACUAUAAUUUAAAACCAUCUUAGAACUGACGUUGAGGUGCGAAAGCGUGGGGAGCAAACAGGAUUAGAUA
rnacentral:rRNA from 1 species